UACUGCGCUUUUCCCAUGGUCUUAGCA
rnacentral:piRNA from 1 species